rnacentral:rRNA from 1 species
AUUGAACGCUGGCGGCAUGCCUUACACAUGCAAGUCGAACGGCAGCACGGGAGCAAUCCUGGUGGCGAGUGGCGAACGGGUGAGUAAUAUAUCGGAACGUGCCCGGUCGUGGGGGAUAACGUAGCGAAAGCUACGCUAAUACCGCAUACGAUCUACGGAUGAAAGCGGGGGAUCGCAAGACCUCGCGCGAUUGGAGCGGCCGAUAUCAGAUUAGGUAGUUGGUGAGGUAAAGGCUCACCAAGCCGACGAUCUGUAGCUGGUCUGAGAGGACGACCAGCCACACUGGGACUGAGACACGGCCCAGACUCCUACGGGAGGCAGCAGUGGGGAAUUUUGGACAAUGGACGCAAGUCUGAUCCAGCCAUUCCGCGUGCAGGAUGAAGACCCUCGGG